ensembl:lncRNA LNCATV lncRNA negative regulator of antiviral signaling
AUAGCCAGAAACAGUGAUUUGGCUAAGACAAAAUGAAGCGAUGGCUGUCCUGGGAUGGUGCAGAUGAUGGCGUCUUGCUCUGUCACCCAGGCUGGAGUGCAGUGGUGCGAUCUCGGCUCACUGCAACCUCUGCCCUUCUGGUUCAAGCAAUUCUCCCUGCCUCAGCCUGGAAACAUAGCCUGGCUCUGUGAAGGAAUACUGCUGUGACCGCAAAACUGUUUCUGUAGAAUUUUCUCCGGUGUGGUCAUCCUGCCUUCAGGAGGAAAAUAGAGCAAAAAGGUAGAACUUACUUCCACACCCAAGUUUCUCCUGAAAGCACUGUGCCUGUUUUGUUUGCUACACAUCUUGGCUUCAGGAAAAAGAGGACCUUAGAACUGAAGGAGCAAGAUUCCAACAUCACACUGUUUUUGUUAGCUGUGUGUGUGUGUUUCCUGUGUAUCCAAAAGACAGAGGAGAUGAAAAAGCAAAAGAAAAGAAACGAGGAAUCAGAUUGGAAAGAAGGUUUCUCCAGGACGUCACCUGUAUGAGGUACACAGUGUGAUGACACACUCUGUGCUUUUCCUACUUGUGUCCACGUGAGUGUCUGGAGCUGCCCUUCAAGGAGAGCAAUAGAUGAAUGAUUCUGCCUUCCCGCUGAGAGGGAUGUGGGUCCUGCGGAUGGUCGGGGUGAAGCUUCCUCUCCUUUCUGCUGACAGCACUUCCUCAUUAAAUGCAGAGAUCUGCAAAAAGGGAAAAUAAAAACACAAGAAGAAAAAUGA